rnacentral:lncRNA from 10 species
ACCCUACCACAUUUCUACCACUGUGGCCGAGCUGCGGUCUCUGAUUUCACCACCAACCGCAGCGAGGCGAGCCGCGGAGGCGCAAGCUCCGGCUCCAGCCUCCAGCACGCGGCGGUGCCUCUUCUUUCUGUCUUCCAGCCCGGCAGGAGAAGCUCUCGCUGCUAGCCUCCCUCCUACCGCUCCGUCACCACCACCACCAACAGGGAGGGAGUGCCCCAGGCUCCAGGCUCCAAGCUCCAGGCUCCAGGGGGCGAAAAGUGACGGAGCCUUCCAGUUCUUUAAGCCGGGUUUCCGUGUGUUUCUAUUGAGCUGCUCAGUGCCCGGCUUAGAAGACCAGGAAAAGGAGUCACAGGUCGUAUGCUGGAGGCUUGAGCCGCGGCACCGUGGCGCGGCUCGCCUCGCUGCGGUUGGUGGUGGCGGUGGACAUUGCAGCGCGGCUGGAGGGGUAGGAAGAAGAAGAUAGUUUUGGGAUAGAUAGAGGGUCCUUAGACAAGGUGCAAGACAAACAGAAGAGGGCAUGUGGGGUCAAACUCGCUAGCUGCCUGCCUGAUUUUUCUGCACACAGGACAAAUUCACCAAGAGCCUAGCAACAUGAAGAGAGAUGCCAGGAAGAAGAGAGAAGCCAGGAAACAAGCCAACCGCACAAUCCCCACAUCAGAGCAGGAGAAGAUGGGGGCCUGCUGGCAGAGCUGGGGCUUGGCUGUGGUCACUCUGAACCUGCUCUUUGGUGUUUUCAUGAGUGGUGGGAAGAAUAGGGACCAUAUGGAGCCCACACAGGAAGCUCUAGCAGUAACACAGCAAGCAGGAAGACAAUUCUAAGGAAGCAGCCCAUAGUCUUCUUUCUUUUCCUGUGCAUCUUCCACUGUCAGUGAGGCUCCUCAUUUAUGGUGAACCCAACUGUGUGUAUCUCCCAAGUUCUCACCCGCAGAUUAAUGUUUUCAGGAAGAUAGGCCAUCAACAGUGAGAGGAAGAAGUUACAUUGUCGUAUGAGGGAUGCAUUUUAACCAUUAAUUUGUGGUACAGGCUGGGCGCAGUGGCUUAUGCAUGUAAUCCCAGCACUUUGGGAGGCCGAGGUGGGUGGAUCACGAGGUCAGGAGAUCGAGACCAUCCUGGCUAACAUGGUGAAACCCCGUCUUUACUAAAUAUACAAAAAAUUGGCCGGGCGUGGUGGUGGGCACCUGUAGUCCCAGCUACUCGGGGGGCUGAGGCAGGAGAAUGGUGUGAACCCGGGAGGCAGAGCUUGCAGUGAGCCGAGAUCGCGCCACUGCACUCCAGCCUGGAUGACAGAGCAAGACUCCAUCUCAAAAAAAAAAAAAAUGUGUGGUACAGUUAUUUUGUUUAUGUUAGUGAUUCAAUCAUAGAAACUAUUCAGUUUCUGGUAUCCCACUCUUACCUGGAGAAAAGAGGAAGCCGCUUUCAUCAGACACUGUGUUCACCCAGCGUAAGGAAAAAGUUGGUAAAAUCUAAAGGAAUCCUCAGACAUAUUAAUAAAAGUGUGCCCAGUCCCUCUCCACAACCCAUGUAGCCACUGUGGUCAGUACCUGCAGGGCAUCUCUCAAAUACCCCUAUGUCUAGUUCUGGUGAUAUCAGUCACUAAAAAUGGGAUCAGCUUGUGGCAGAUACCACCUUAAAUGCUCAUGUCUGUCUCAGUCACUAGGAGGAAAACCAGAGCCUGGAAACCAGAUCCAUUUUGAUGAAUGUCCAAGAUUUUGAGAGUGAAAAACUCCAAAAUGACAGCUCACAGUUGGCAGCUAGGCCAGAAGGUUCCCAAGGAACAUCAGAGGUAUUCCCGGAAUAUAAAGAGGCAAGGCCACAGAAUGACUCCACAUAGCAGAGGUGUUGCUACGAGAGGUGACACUGUCCCUGUCAGAAACAAGUCAGUGCCAAGGAGACUCAAUAACAAAAACAACUAAACAAUCCUUUCCUGCCUAACAUGAGUGACAACUGCUUCUAUAUCAGUGACUUCAAUCUCUCUGCCUCCUAGAUAAAAAUGAUUAAGGUAACUAGUCAUUAAUUGCACCCACUUCCAGACAAUAUCCAAUCCAGACUGACCCUCUCUUCCUCAAAUCCUCUUUAGAAUUACCAAGCAAAACCCCAAGUCCUAUAAGCCCAUCUCAACUCCCUCCUUAUGCAACACCCCAUGGUUCCUCUGCAGUGCCUGCUAAAUCUAACUUCGGGUUAUUACAGGUGCACGAGUGAUGGUCUUUGACUCAUGACCUUUAACUUGCUGUGGGUGUCUGUUGCUUUGGAGCAGCCCAGCGCUGAUUUCUACUUCUGAAAAGUGCCCUGACUUGCUUUGAAUUGGAUGCCAGUCUAGGAAGACUCAUAUCUGGGCCUCUUGUAGGCCAAGGUCAGGCAUGUACCUUAGCUUGAAAAUGAGAUACGCCUCCCUAGGAUUUGAAACCUGAGUGAGAGGCGCAGCACUGGGGGUGGUGUCCAGGCCAGACCGGCCAUGUUGCGAGACCACUGCCGUGCUUCCUGCUUCCUGGUCCUCUAGUCCUGCCCGUUCCUAGCCAGGGUCCUCAGCUUUCCCAUCAAUGCAGUAACUCCUUUCACUUAAUUGAGCCGGGGUCAAUUUUGCUGUUGCUUUCCAGCAAAGAGGAUGGAGAUGCACAACUGUCAUCUGAACAGUGGCACUCACUCACCACCUGAACAGAGGCGCUCAUUCUGCAUCAGGGCGGGUGAAAACGCCUUACGUUGAUCCACUCCUGGGGCUGGGGCCGGGACACUCAGGCCCUGGGAAUAUUGUUUCCACAGUUUUAUUAACCUGGAAAAUGUGUUCCUUUGUUCUGAUUGUGUGGUCACCAACAACGGCUGAUUUUUAAUAUGGGCUCUCAUACACCCUGUUACCGAUUAUCAGACACCAGAUCCUGGUCACAAGAAACAACAGCUCCCAUUUGUAAAUGAAUGCCUUGACAUUGAGCUUUACCCACAAUGGAGAGUUGGUUAACAGGAGGUGGUCUCUCUGUGCCUGAACAAUAUGUGUGUUCUGACAAAAUCAAAUCACCAGCCCUGCAAUCCCACAGACCUCACAGGCUCAGUUUGACCCACCAGGGAAUGCUGCCUCCAUAAGCUACUGGCCGCCUUCCAUGGCAUUUCUAUCUGUGACAACUGCCACAAGCUACCUCCGCUGGAUGUCAAACAGGCACUAAGCUUUGUGCACUGGGUCUUUGCUCAAAUGUCCUUUUUAGUAGGGAGAUGUGAUCCAAAGGGGUUUCAGGCUAAUACAUAGAGAUCCGGAAAGAUGCUAUGGUUCAUCUCUUCCUUCUGUCAUGUUGACAAGCUCUGGUGCCCACCUAUGUCCAGACUGGGCCCUGCUUUCAUGACUGAGGGCAGAAAACAGAGGCUCUGUCUGUGCCUGGGAAUCUUUGAAUUGGGUCCCUGAGUCAAAGCAUCUCCCAUCACCUUUAGAACUGCUCAGAAUGUUCAUGGAGAUAUUUUGCUUGUACUCAAGAGCAGUUGUGUUGGAAAUUUAGUGUGGUAGAGUAAUUAAAGCACAGACUGCUGGAGCAUGACUCCUGACACCAGUCACUAGCUUGACCUUGCGCAAGUUACUCACUCUCUCUACGCCUCACUUUCCCCAUCUGAAAAUGGGAAUAAUUGUAGGACAUAUCUCAUAGGGCCACUGUGACAUUUAAAUGCAUUAAUAGAUGUAAAUUUCAUAGGACAGGUACUUUACAUUCCUACCACUUACGAAGAAUUAUCUAACUCUUAGCUGUUAUUCUACAACAACUUUAGAAAGGGUGUUUUAUUGUCUGAGGGUAAUAUUUGCAAGCCAUAGAAUUUCUCAGGGUUUGCCAGCUUCUUUGAACAUAAAGGGAAAUUGGGGCAUUAGCAAACUGACACAGCAAUGGGUCUUGGUCUAAUGGGCAUACAGGUGAAAAGAUUCUAUUUGAAAAGUUUCUGGGUUUCCAUACUGUAAACUCUGUUUUGUAAGUUAACUCCAUGUCAUUUUGAAAUUUUGCAAACCCCUCUCUCCACACAUGUGCACUAACACGUGAACUCCACAAGGGCUGUCAUGUGUGUUUGAUCAAUGCUCCAUCUCCGCUGUCUGGAGUGGUGCUUUGGGACACAGUAGAUGCUCAAUAAACAGCUGUAAAUCAAAAACUUAAAUACUUAACCUUUUGGUCUAAGUGAACAAGAGGUUUUGACGUGUUCUUUGGUGGAUAUUAUCUGAGUUUUCACAAGACCUCAGUAUACUUGGCAAAGCAUUUCACAAUUGAUGGGCAAGCCAUCCAGCAUUUAAAAGUGAAAUUCAUGGAGCAUUCUACUGGAUGGUGCUGCUCUAACGAACCCAUGCUUCUGCUGGAAAUUUGCAGCAUUGUGAUUCUUAAAUCAUGGCAUUCUCAUAAGCCAAAGAGAUUGAGUGCAUUUUUGGAAAAUGAGCUCCUUAAGGAGAGGGCCUGAGUUGAUGCAACUGGCUCUGCAGGACACUCCUCCCCCCGAGUGCCCUCACUGGGACAGAGGCCCUUCAUGGUUUCUGAUGAUGGUUUUGGCUCCCCAAACUAGGCUCUCAGGACCCCUGGUCCCCAAAACAAGUAUUAGGAAUAACCAGGACAUUAUCGCAGAGAACUGGCAUUAAGGCACAGAGGCCCAUGGAGUCCCCAGGCACAGAUGAUGCCAUAUUCUGUACCUACCGGGUCAAGCAUGAAGAGGUCCACGCCUUGCCCUGUGGAGAGAGCCACCAGGGUUGCACUACCGUACAGCGCAUAACCUGCGGCCACAAUAUUGCGGCCACACUGCAGGGCAUCCUUUUCAGAAGGCUCAUCCUCUGAGGUCUGUGGAAGAGAGGGAUAAAUGCCAUGUGUUAUUGUUGUCUCUGGAGAGAACACUUUGCCAGGGGCCUGGGCUUCAGAUCUCCUCGAAUCACUGAAGGAAGCGCGGUUCUUUGAAUUUUAAGCUGCUGCAAAUCCAUCCAGAGGAAACGAGUGGCCAUGUUGCCAACAGUUCUAGCUGAGCCAUGGCAAAGGCCAUUCUUGGACUUCUUCCUUCCUGUUUUCCAAACGCAUGUGUCUGUAGCCUGACAAGAAAAGCACUCCCAGAUGCUAAAACCGUAGCCCCUCUUCAUCAUAAGCCAUGUUCCCAAGCCACGAUACUCACAACUCAGAUCACUGAGCUGAGCGUGCAGUGUCUCACUCUGCACACUCAACAGCCCUUUGGGGCAGAUAGCACCAUCACCUCCAUGGCUCAGAGGGAGAACUCUGAGAGCAAAACCACCUAAGAUUAACAACCUACUGCAGCUGGAGCGGCUGCACAACUCGCCCAGCAGCAGGAAGCCCUGAUUCUGCCUUUCUCUCUGACUCUGUGGAUGCUCCUUCUCACUUGCCUCUCUUCCCGGCAGCACCUCUUCCUCUGAUUCCUUAAAUGUUGGUGCUCCUUCUGGUCCUUCUGUGGCCCUUGGUACAUCCAACCGGUGCAAAAUGAUUCUUCCUCACCCCCUUAUCCAAAAUGGGGACUCUUAGCUGCUACAUUUGUAUUGAGUUACCCCGUCUCCCACGACACACACACACGCACACUUAUUUGAUGGGGUCAAGGAUAGAUUCAUAGAUUAGUGAUUCAAACUGGCCCAAUGUGAGUCUCUCCUCCAGAAACCUAGAACUGGAGUACAGCAUUGUUGUGAUGUACGUAGAAGCUUUGUAAACCCGAAUGUUCUUGCCUCCAUGUUCUGACCUCAUGGUCUGGUCUUCCAGCGCUUGACGCCAUGAGCACUCAGAGCUGCUUCUCUGAAGCUCCCAACACAUUUUCAUUCACGGGCUUAGUGUCUGACUUCCCAGCUAGACUGUGAGCAACUUGGUGGCAAGUACCAACUCCGUCUUGUUCCUGUCUGUUUACCCAUCACCUAGCACAAUCCAGUCCACAGAUAUUGCAUUUAAUUCACACACACACACAACACACACAUGAGUUUACACACACACAUAUAUACAUGCAUACAUGCAGUGAUUUUCAGCAUAAGAAUCCUAUACACAUUUUUUGGAUUUAUACUGUUCCAUUUUUUGUGUGAUUGUAAAUAGCACAUAUUUUAAAAUGUAAUUAUAAUUACGAAUUAGUUUAUUGCUAAUAUAUAGAAAUCUAGUUGAUUUUGUAUCUUGAUCUUGUAUCCUGUGACCUUGCUAAACUCACUAGUUCUAGAAGUGUUUUGGUUUUCUGUUUGUAGGUUCCUUGGGAUUUUCUACAUAGACCAUCAUGUCGUCUGCAAGAACAGUGUUAUUACCUGCUUUCCAAUCUGUAUGUGUUUCAUCAUCUUCCUUGCCUUAUUGUGCUGGCUACAACUUUCAGGAUUACAUAUGUUGGGUAACAGUGGCGAGUGAGGACAUCCUUGCUUUGUUACUGAUCUUAGAGUAUAAGCAUUCAGUCUUUCACCAUUAAAUGUAAUGCUAGCUGUAGAUGUACUUGAUAGAGUUAAGGGACGCUCCUCCUCUAUUUCUUGUUUUCUAAGACUUUCUGUUUUUUCAGAGACAGGGUCUUGCUCUGUUGCCCAGGGUGGAGUGCAGUGGCUUGGUCAUGGCUCACUGCAGCCUCCAACUCCUGGGCUUAAGUCAUCCUCCCAUCUCAACUUCUUGAGUAGCUGGGACUACGGGUAUGCACUACCACCCCCCUCUCCAGCUAAUGUCUUUUUUGAGAUGGGGGUCUUGCUAUGUUGCCCAGGCUGGUCUCAAACUCCUGGCCUCAAGCAAUCCUCCUACCUCAGCAAGUUUCUUUUUUAAAUAAUGAAUGAGUGUUGAAUUUGUUCAAAUGUUUUUUCUCCAUCAAUAGAUACGAUUAUGUGAUUUUUCUUCUUUAGCCUGUUGAUAUGGUGGAUUACACUGACUGAUUAUGAAUACUGGAUCAGUCUUCCAUCACCAGAAUAAACCCCACUCAGCCAUGGUGUAUAAUUUAUUUUAUGUAUUGUUGAAUUCUAUUUGCCAAUAUUUUGUUAAGAGUUUUUGCAUUUAUUGAUAAGGAAUAUUGGUCUGUGGUAUUUUUUUGAACAAUCUUUGUCUGGUUUUUGUAUCAGGAUAACACUGGUUUCAUAAAAUGAAUUGGGAAGUGUUCCUUCCUAUUAUCUUUUCUGGAAGAGACUGAAUAAUCUGUGAAUAUUUGUUAUGUUUUUCCAGUAAACCAUCUGAGCCUGGAGAUUUCUUUUCUUGGGCAUGAGUUUCUUAAUAGUAUUGAGCCCUGUAGAUAGCCAUUCAAAGUAUCUAUUUUAUAUUGGGUGAGUUAGAGUAUUGUAGUUUUUGAGACAUUGGUUCGUUUCAUCUAAGUUGUCAAAUGUAUGCAUGUGGAGUUGUUUCUAAUAUUCUCUUUUUAUCCUUUUGAAAAACAAGGCAACCUGAGAUUAACAAUCUACUGCAUAAAUACACAAUUCUCUGAUCAUUUUCCCAAGAUAAAUUCCCAAUAAUUAAAUAAUUGGGUAAAAAUCUUUUGAUACAUAUUGAAAAAUUGUCCUCCAGAAAGAGUGCAUCAAUUUAUACUUUUACCACUAAUAAUAAGAGAGUUCAUUUUAAUUCAGCCUGGUAAACACAAGAUAGCAUUGUCUUUUCAACUUUGUCAAUUUGACAGGUGGACAAAAUGACAUCUCUUUUGUUUUAACUUCUAUUUUUUAUGAGUCAGGUAAAACCUUUUAUAUGUUUAUUUUGACCAUUUUUAUUUUGUAAGUUGUCUCUUUCAUGUCUUGCUUAUUUUUCUAUCAGGAUAUUCAACUUCUUGUUUAUUUUAAUAGCUCUUUAUAUAUAAAGGAUAUUAAUGUCUUGUAUAUGUCACAAAUAUUUUCCUCGAUUGUCAUUGCCUUCUUAUUUAUGGUGCCUGUUUUUGCAGUGCAGUUUUAAAAUUAAAAUUAUUCAUGACAUUCCAUAUGUUUUCUUCUCUUGUCUUUAUGUUUAGACUGAAUUUCUCCUACAUCAAGACAGGGUGACACAAAUAUUCUUGUCUUUUCUUUCUGGUUUUAUUCCCCACCUCUCUACCAAACUCAUCAACUCAUCUGUAAUUUAUUUCUAUGCAUGGAAAAAAAAGAAUGGUUCAGUUUUUGUAUUUGUCUAACACGGUCCUGAGAUUUCAAAAACCCAGUUUAUAUCAGCAAUCUUCAUUGCCAUGACACCUUUCUCAGUAAAUUUUAUAGUAGUUUGCAAAUGAUUUAGUGCGUCUUUUUAUUUUUUUCUACACCAAUAAAUAUCUGAGCCCAUCAGAUAAGUGGUGCUUCCUACCACUACUUUUUGGUAAAAUUAAUGAAAAUUGCAAGAGCUCCAUGUAUUUGGUGGUAGAAAUUAUGAAAUGUGGACUUUUUUCCUUUUUGUUGAGGUAUAAAGCAUAUAGCAGAGCAUACAAAUCUUAAUGGUACAUCUUGAUAAAUUUUUACAAAUAUAUAAUAUACACUUAUGUGUAUUUAUAGAAUAUUUUACAUAACAUCCAGAUCCAUUUAUAUAACAUUUCCAGCAACCUAGUGGACUUUAAGCCUAGUGAAGCCAGGCCUAGUAGUCUCUUCCAGUCACUAUCACCUCCUGCCAAAGGUAACCUCUAUUCUCACCUUUAUCACCAAAUCUAACUUUAUCUGGUUUGGAACAUCAUCUAAAUGAAAUGACACUGCAUAUGUUCUUUUGUAUGGCUUAUGAUUUUCAAGUUUAUUUCUUUGCAAUUUUACCUAUGUUGUUAUACAUAGCAGUUUGUUCUUUUUCAUUGCUAUGUAGUUUUCUGUUGUAUGACUAUAUCACAAUUUAUUUCUCCAUUCUCAUGUUGAUAUGCAUUUGGAUUUUUCUGGUUUGGGGCUACUAUGACUAAUUUCUCCAUCUUUGGGCAGACACAGAAUUCCUUUCUUCUGUGUGGGUCCCAGGAGUGAAAUUGCUUGGCCAUAGUGUGUAAAUAUCUGUUUAGCAUUAGUAGGUCCUAUCAAAUGUUUUCCAAAGUAGUUAUACUAUUUGAUAGUCCCACCAAUGAGGUAUAAGAAUUCCAGUUUCUUUGCCAACACUUGGUAUGCUUAGUCUUUUUAGAUUUAGCCACUCUGGAAGAGGAGAAUGGUGUCUCACUGUGGUUUUAAUUUCCAUCUUCCUAACGUAACUGGGCAGCUUAACUUCAUAAUAUAUUUUAAAACAUUUUUCCCUUCUCUUGGGUUUCAAGAUAUAACCUUGAAGCAAACUGCAGAAGUCUUUUCUCUUAGCUAUAAAAUAGCUCCCUUUCUCACCAUAUAUACUCCCUGCACAUUUAGCUAACUGCAUGCUAGUAUCUAUUAUGUGCCUUCUUAGAAGUUCCAGGAGGUAAUCUUGAGACGGACAGACCAAGCAUGGAGACCUAGCUGCAAAAUUCCAGAGAUUACUUCCAUGCAGCUAAUUAACAACUCGGCCACUGUUGAGAUGAUGUCAGCCUGAGGUCCAGGUGGACUGGCACCAAAGAUAAUCAUAAAAACAAGACCCAGAGAUACUGUACUCAGCACAAUUCUCUUGCAUGCCCUCCUUAAUCAAGUUUUCCUCUUUUAAACCCCUCCCUUCCCCCGAAAUAGUCAAAGUGGUUGCUUUGAUGGGAAUCUGGCCACUUCCCCUUUACUAGUUGUGGUUAAUAAAGUCACUUUCUAUCUACCAGGCCUCACUCUUGUUAACUGGACUCUGCAGGCAGUGAGCAUGUGGACCUGCAUUCAGUUACAAUUUUAGUGGCCCAUACAGUGUGCUCUGGGGGCCCAAGCCCAUGGUCUGGUUUCUAUUGGACAGGGCCUGUGGGGCUGCCUGUAGGCUCCAGUUGCUUGUGGCUACCUGACCCCUUGGCUGGAAUGCUAGGGAGUCUCCUGCAGCUGCCUAGAUGCUUUUGUCUUGGGGAUCCUCUCUUUCUCUUCCUGCUGCAGUGCCUGCUACCUCCAAUAUUUCACUGGUGCACUGAAAGUGACUUUUAGAGAAGUGACAAACUUUGGAAUUUUGGAACUUUGAAACUUCGGAACUUGGGGUUCAGCCUUGAAGGAGAAAAACAGUUUCCAACAUCAUGGCCUCUGAUUUUGUCAUCUUCUCUGGGACUGGUUACAUAUUCUGGCCCAUUUUUGUGCACAUUUUAAACUGAUGGGCAAAUUACAACAAGAAAAAUUCAGAGUUCAAAUGGUUAACCUACACUGUGGAGUUAAGUAGAAUCUUCUUUAGCUCUCUACCUUCCUCUCUUUUCUGCCUGCUUUAAAUCUGCUGUUAUUAAACUGCUGGCGCGAGACAAGACUCAUUAUUUAUGGUCUAAAUUGAAUAUAAACAUUGAAAACUCAUUUGAAACUGAACAGCAAAAAGGGGAAAAGAUUUAAAAAGAAAAAAACCCAAACUGCCAUAGAGACUGCUUUACCCCAAAUUUUGGCUGCCAGCUUUCCUUGGAUUACCUAUCAGGGCAAACAAAGUUAGCCACGUGGACAGCUUCCAGUUUUGUCAGAAAAACAACUUGAAGCCAGCUUUUAUAGGUCAGUGAGUUUGUGAUGCUAUCUCAUGAUUAGAGUUCUCAGAUAAAAGCUCUUAGACCUUUGUUUGUGUAUGGAUGUAUACAUGUUUAGAUAUGUUUAUGUAAUGUACAUGUUAUAGUUAUGUUCUGUCGUGUCUAGCAUGCUACCAAAUUGGCUUUAUAAGUAAGUGAGUACACAUAAAUUAAGUUCAAAUGCUUUCCAAGUUCGCAUGAAUCUUUGAUAAAUAAAACUGGCUUCAAAAAUUAUUAGUAAAAUAAAAACAAAAAUGCCUUCAGAAUCAUCAGCAUACAUUUGUGUCUAAGCAAAUAAAUUUUGUAUUUGUCUCUGCUAAAUGUUUAAAGUGUCAGGGUUUGGCGCAAAGAUUGUAAGAUUAUAACCCAGCCAAACACAGAGUAAUCUUUGUGUAAUUUUUUUGACAAAUAAGACUAAGUUAGGAUUGUUAGUUCAAUGAAAGCAACUGAAUCCUCUGAGCUAUUGGCAAAAUGACCAUGGAUUUAACUUUGAGGUUCUUACUUAGGUGUUCACCUAAUGUUCGGACUUUUAAAAUGGUUAACAGGGAAAUAACUUUAAAUAAUGACUAACUUUGUAUAAUAUCUGUUUUCAGAAAGAAUCUAGAUAAACUUAAAGAUUAAAAAAUUAAAUACACAUAAAUGAAAUAUGUUUUUUAAGUGAAUUUUUUCUGUAAUUUAAAAUCUUAAAAUUAUUUUAAAUUAAAUAAUAAAUGCUUAUUGGAUGUCUGGUUUACUUCUAAUUUUUUAAAAAUUAUAAUAAAUUAUGG